AGAGUUUGAUCCUGGCUCAGAUUGAACGCUGGCGGCGUGCCUAACACAUGCAAGUCGAGCGGUAACAGGUGUGGCAAUACAUGCUGACGAGCAGCGAACGGGUGAGUAAUGCUUCGGAAUCUACCCACGGGUGGGGAAUAACCAACCGAAAGGUUGGCUAAUACCGCAUAAGUCCUACGGGGGAAAGCGGGGAGUCGAAAGACCUCGCGCCGGUGGAUGAGCCGAAGCCGGAUUAGCUAGUUGGUAGGGUAAGUGGCCGUACCAAGGCGACGAUCCGUAGCUGGUCUGAGAGGACGACCAGCCACACUGGGACUGAGACACGGCCCACGACUCCUACGGGAGGCGAC
rnacentral:rRNA from 1 species